rnacentral:rRNA from 1 species
GACGGAGGAUGCAAGCGUUAUCCGGAAUGAUUGGGCGUAAAGCGUCUGCAGGUGGCAGUUCAAGUCUGCUGUCAAAGACCGGGGCUUAACUUCGGAAAGGCAGUGGAAACUGAACAGCUAGAGUAUGGUAGGGGCAGAGGGAAUUCCUGGUGUAGCGGUUAAAUGCGUAGAGAUCAGGAAGAACAUCGGUGGCGAAGGCGGCCCACUGGUCCGGUACUGACGCUGAGGUGCGAAAGCGUGGGGAGCAAACAGG